GGCGAGGCUUGGCGGACGGUUCCGCCCCGAAACUUGGUCAGGGCCGGAAGGAAGCAGCCAGCCGGAGCGGAAACGGGUUGCUUGGGCCUCGCUUGA
rnacentral:SRP_RNA from 1 species